GGUAGUGUGGAUGUCCGAUCAAUUUGAACUUUUGCGUGGAGAUUCAAUUUGACGAGUUCUGCAAGAUGAAUGGUUUGGAUAAUCAAGUAGAGAUCCAAAUCACUACAAGAAAAUGUGGUGAUUAUGCACUUCAAUCGUUCCAGAAACACCUGAGAAAUUUCAUCCCUCCUAAAACGACGUCGUCUGUGGUAUACCCAAAAUCUCGUCCAUAUUUCCCUACUCCUUUUUUCACUUUCUUUUGAACUACCCUCCUAAAUAUUCCUCCGCCCCAAACGAAAACCCCUUUAGACGAAAAGCCCCAAAUCCUGAUUUCUUUCUAAUCGUCGUCGAUCUCUCACCAGCAGCUUCACUAGUUGUCGAUCUCUCACGGUCGUCGCAGGAUCUGAAGUUGACAUCCAACUAUAUUCUGAGAAAACUGUUGGUAUGAUAGUUUGACACUUUGAUUACCUGUGCAAUUUUGUACUUGAAAAUCAGUGCAUAUUGUGGAUAUUGGGGCUUUGUGGCUGUUUGAUCCUAAUAUGCUAUUGUGGAUGCUAUAUGCAAUUGCGAUCAAUGGGAACAAAGUGGAGCUUUGAGAUUUAUCAUUUAUCUCCUUCAUCACCUAUUGCUCAGGCUUAUUUCUGGAAGUUGCGCUGUCUUUUCGCUACGAUUUGAGUCUGCAAAAGAUGUAUCCGACUUUGUUAAGGAUAUUACCAGCUGGUUUUCAGCACAAAAAGAGAACUUGGAGAUUUAUUUAUACCAUUCCGGUGAUCCAGUGAUUUCUCAACAAUCGAUGGUGAUCAUUUGGUGGAUGAAGAUACAAUGUAGUAGGAGAUAUGAGAUGGAAUGAUGUUUUGGAGGGACAAAGCUGCCUUUUGUCUUUUGUUUUGGUACUACUAGAUGGAAGAAUGAUGUCUUUAGUUUUUGGUAUACGACAGUACACAUUAUAUAUAGUCCAUGGAUUGUGGUUCUUGCCUUUGAUACUUGAUGUUAUG